CCUGGAUCUCCUAUGGGCUGAUGAUGAUUGCUACCCUUCUUCCAGGAAUAUUCAGGUAUUUCUGACCCUUACCAAAAACCUGACCUAUGAAUAAGGCCAUACAUUCAGGUUUCU